CCUACGGGUGGCAGCAGUGGGGAAUAUUGGACAAUGGGGGCAACCCUGAUCCAGCCAUGCCGCGUGUGUGAAGAAGGCCCUCGGGUUGUAAAGCACUUUCAGUGAGGAAGAACGCCUGGUGGUUAAUACCCAUCAGGAAAGACAUCACUCACAGAAGAGGCACCGGCUAACUCCGUGCCAGCAGCCGCGGUAAUACGGAGGGGGCGAGCGUUAAUCGGAAUUACUGGGCGUAAAGCGCGCGUAGGUGGCUUGAUAAGCCGGUUGUGAAAGCCCCGGGCUCAACCUGGGAACGGCAUCCGGAACUGUCAAGCUUGAGUGCAGGAGAGGAAGGUAGAAUUCCCGGUGUAGCGGUGAAAUGCGUAGAGAUCGGGAGGAAUACCAGUGGCGAAGGCGGCCUUCUGGACUGACACUGACACUGAGGUGCGAAAGCGUGGGUAGCAAACAGGAUUAGAUACCCGGGUAGUC
rnacentral:rRNA from 1 species